rfam:Mangrovibacter sp. MFB070 Contig-019, whole genome shotgun sequence.
AUUUCAGCCUGGUCACAACCAUUAUUAUUACCACCAUUACAACAGGUAACGGUGCGGGCUGACGCGUACAGGAAAUACAGAAAAAGCCCGCACCUGAACAGUGCGGGCUUUUUUUUC